CCGAAGUACCUCGACUGGAUGAAAGGGCAGAGAAGGCAGAGGCAGACGAGCACUCCGGUUCGCGCACCAUCCGGAGUGGGUCCAAAAAAGACAGGUUUCACUUUGUAGCCCAGAUUGGUCUCAAACUCACAAUCCUUCUGCCUCAGCCUCCCCAGUGGUGGGAUUACAGGCAUGCAACACCACGUCUGGCUCAAUUCCCUCACUUCUUCAAUUUCUCCAUGAGAAAGAGGAAGAGGACACAAAGUGAGGUAGAAUUGGAUACGCAGAGUCAGCUUUACGUGUUUCUUCUCUAUUGUCAUCGUUACUCAUCACAACCAUUAAGAGGCACCUAAUUUCCCAGAGCAAAGCACUUGGACAAAAGCAACUGAAUAUAAAUCUACAGAAUAAAGAGAUUUUUUGAAUAAACAGAUUAGACAAAAAUGUGAGUGGAUAACAUCACAUCCUUGAAAG
rnacentral:lncRNA from 1 species